GAGGAUAUAGCUCAGUGGUAAUGUGCUUGCCUAACAUGCAUGAGACCCUGGGUUCAAUCCCCAGUACCACCC
rnacentral:tRNA from 1 species